rnacentral:rRNA from 1 species
GGGUGACAGCCCCGUACACAAAAAUGCACAUACUGUGAGCUCGAUGAGUAGGGCGGGACACGUGGUAUCCUGUCUGAAUAUGGGGGGACCAUCCUCCAAGGCUAAAUACUCCUGACUGACCGAUAGUGAACCAGUACCGUGAGGGAAAGGCGAAAAGAACCCCGGCGAGGGGAGUGAAAAAGAACCUGAAACCGUGUACGUACAAGCAGUGGGAGCCUCUUAAUGGGGUGACUGCGUACCUUUUGUAUAAUGGGUCAGCGACUUAUAUUCUGUAGCAAGGUUAACCGAAUAGGGGAGCCGAAGGGAAACCGAGUCUUAACUGGGCGUUAAGUUGCAGGGUAUAGACCCGAAACCCGGUGAUCUAGCCAUGGGCAGGUUGAAGGUUGGGUAACACUAACUGGAGGACCGAACCGACUAAUGUUGAAAAAUUAGCGGAUGACUUGUGGCUGGGGGUGAAAGGCCAAUCAAACCGGGAGAUAGCUGGUUCUCCCCGAAAGCUAUUUAGGUAGCGCCUCGUGAAUUCAUCUCCGGGGGUAGAGCACUGUUUCGGCAAGGGGGUCAUCCCGACUUACCAACCCGAUGCAAACUGCGAAUACCGGAGAAUGUUAUCACGGGAGACACACGGCGGGUGCUAACGUCCGUCGUGAAGAGGGAAACAACCCAGACCGCCAGCUAAGGUCCCAAAGUCAUGGUUAAGUGGGAAACGAUGUGGGAAGGCCCAGACAGCCAGGAUGUUGGCUUAGAAGCAGCCAUCAUUUAAAGAAAGCGUAAUAGCUCACUGGUCGAGUCGGCCUGCGCGGAAGAUGUAACGGGGCUAAACCAUGCACCGAAGCUGCGGCAGCGACACUAUGUGUUGUUGGGUAGGGGAGCGUUCUGUAAGCCUGUGAAGGUGUACUGUGAGGUAUGCUGGAGGUAUCAGAAGUGCGAAUGCUGACAUAAGUAACGAUAAAGCGGGUGAAAAGCCCGCUCGCCGGAAGACCAAGGGUUCCUGUCCAACGUUAAUCGGGGCAGGGUGAGUCGACCCCUAAGGCGAGGCCGAAAGGCGUAGUCGAUGGGAAACAGGUUAAUAUUCCUGUACUUGGUGUUACUGCGAAGGGGGGACGGAGAAGGCUAUGUUGGCCGGGCGACGGUUGUCCCGGUUUAAGCGUGUAGGCUGGUUUUCCAGGCAAAUCCGGAAAAUCAAGGCUGAGGCGUGAUGACGAGGCACUACGGUGCUGAAGCGACAAAUGCCCUGCUUCCAGGAAAAGCCUCUAAGCAUCAGGUAACAUCAAAUCGUACCCCAAACCGACACAGGUGGUCAGGUAGAGAAUACCAAGGCGCUUGAGAGAACUCGGGUGAAGGAACUAGGCAAAAUGGUGCCGUAACUUCGGGAGAAGGCACGCUGAUAUGUAGGUGAAGCGACUUGCUCGUGGAGCUGAAAUCAGUCGAAGAUACCAGCUGGCUGCAACUGUUUAUUAAAAACACAGCACUGUGCAAACACGAAAGUGGACGUAUACGGUGUGACGCCUGCCCGGUGCCGGAAGGUUAAUUGAUGGGGUUAGCGGUAACGCGAAGCUCUUGAUCGAAGCCCCGGUAAACGGCGGCCGUAACUAUAACGGUCCUAAGGUAGCGAAAUUCCUUGUCGGGUAAGUUCCGACCUGCACGAAUGGCGUAAUGAUGGCCAGGCUGUCUCCACCCGAGACUCAGUGAAAUUGAACUCGCUGUGAAGAUGCAGUGUACCCGCGGCAAGACGGAAAGACCCCGUGAACCUUUACUAUAGCUUGACACUGAACAUUGAGCCUUGAUGUGUAGGAUAGGUGGGAGGCUUUGAAGUGUGGACGCCAGUCUGCAUGGAGCCGACCUUGAAAUACCACCCUUUAAUGUUUGAUGUUCUAACGUGGGCCCCUUACCGGGGUUGCGGACAGUGUCUGGUGGGUAGUUUGACUGGGGCGGUCUCCUCCUAAAGAGUAACGGAGGAGCACGAAGGUUGGCUAAUCCUGGUCGGACAUCAGGAGGUUAGUGCAAUGGCAUAAGCCAGCUUGACUGCGAGCGUGACGGCGCGAGCAGGUGCGAAAGCAGGUCAUAGUGAUCCGGUGGUUCUGAAUGGAAGGGCCAUCGCUCAACGGAUAAAAGGUACUCCGGGGAUAACAGGCUGAUACCGCCCAAGAGUUCAUAUCGACGGCGGUGUUUGGCACCUCGAUGUCGGCUCAUCACAUCCUGGGGCUGAAGUAGGUCCCAAGGGUAUGGCUGUUCGCCAUUUAAAGUGGUACGCGAGCUGGGUUUAGAACGUCGUGAGACAGUUCGGUCCCUAUCUGCCGUGGGCGCUGGAGAACUGAGGGGGGCUGCUCCUAGUACGAGAGGACCGGAGUGGACGCAUCACUGGUGUUCGGGUUGUCAUGCCAAUGGCACUGCCCGGUAGCUAAAUGCGGAAGAGAUAAGUGCUGAAAGCAUCUAAGCACGAAACUUGCCCCGAGAUGAGUUCUCCCUGACUCCUUGAGAGUCCUGAAGGAACGUUGAAGACGACGACGUUGAUAGGCCGGGUGUGUAAGCGCAGCGAUGCGUUGAGCUAACCGGUACUAAUGAACCGUGAGGCUUAACCUUACAACGCCGAAG